rnacentral:rRNA from 1 species
AGAACGAACGCUGGCGGCAGGCCUCAAACAUGCAAGUCUAGGGGGCGUAGCAAUACGUCACCGGCGGACGGGUGCGUAACACGUGGGAAUGUACUUACUGGUUCGGAACAACUCAGGGAAACUUGAGCUAAUACCGAAUGUGCCCGAAAGGGGAAAGAUUUAUCGCCAGUAAAUCAGCCCGCGUCCGAUUAGCUAGUUGGCGGGGUAAAGGCCCACCAAGGCGACGAUCGGUAGCUGUUCUGAGAGGAAGAUCAGCCACACUGGGACUGAGACACGGCCCAGACUCCUACGGGAGGCAGCAGUUGGGAAUCUUGGACAAUGGGGAACCCUGAUCCAGCCAUGCCGCGUGAGUGAUGAAGGCCUUCGGGUGUAAAACUCUUUCGACGGGGACGAUAAUGACGGUACCCGUAGAAGAAGCUCCGGCUAACUUCGUGCCAGCAGCCGC